GCCCGCAUAGCUCAGUCGGUAGAGCAUCAGUCUUUUAAUCGCUAAGUAAGCAAGUGAUCUGAUGGUCGUGGGUUCAUGUCCACUUGCAGGUG
rnacentral:tRNA from 1 species